rnacentral:rRNA from 1 species
GAUGAACGCUGGCUACAGGCUUAACACAUGCAAGUCGAGGGGAAACGACGGGGAAGCUUGCUUCCCCGGGCGUCGACCGGCGCACGGGUGAGUAACGCGUAUCCAACCUGCCUCUGACUGAGGGAUAACCCGUCGAAAGUCGGCCUAAUACCUCAUGGCAUCGUCUGCGGGCAUCCAACGACGAUUAAAGAUUUCAUCGGUCAGAGAUGGGGAUGCGUCUGAUUAGCUUGUUGGCGGGGUAACGGCCCACCAAGGCGACGAUCAGUAGGGGUUCUGAGAGGAAGGUCCCCCACAUUGGAACUGAGACACGGUCCAAACUCCUACGGGAGGCAGCAGUGAGGAAUAUUGAUCAAUGGGCGAGAGCCUGUACCAGCCAAGUAGCGUGCAGGAUGACGGCCCUAUGGGUUGUAAACUGCUUUUAUGCGGGGAUAAAGUGAGGGACGUGUCCUUCAUUGCAGGUACCGCAUGAAUAAGGACCGGCUAAUUCCGUG